CAGCCACCCCGCCGAGGGGGAGGCGAAUCUACAAAACCGGUCUCAGUUCGGAUCGCAGUCUGCAACUCGACUGCGUGAAGCUGGAAUCGCUAGUAAUCGCGCAUCAGCCAUGGCGCGGUGAAUACGUUCCCGGGCCUUGUACACACCGCCCGUCACACCAUGAGAGUUUGUAACACCCAAAGCCGGUGGGGUAACCUUUUGGAGCCAGCCGUCUAAGGUGGGACAGAUGAUUGGGGUGAAGUCGUAACAAGGUAUC
rnacentral:rRNA from 1 species